AAAUGUGUAAAGAUCUGCUUUUGUUUCCUACACUCACCCACUCCAAACAUUAACCUCAUACCAACCUCCCACUGUACACAAGGGCCACAGGAAGCCUGGACAAUGCAGAAGAGCUAAAGGAAGUGGAUAGGCUCUAGCUUGGGCCACAGGGUGGCCCCACAGCCUAUCCAGUGUACCCUGAGCAGCCAAUCACCAAGAAAAUGAAGGCACUGUUCCACGCAGUACGGACACAACAGUGAACAAAAUAGACAAACGCUCUGCUCUGGUAAAGCUUCAUUCAGUGAAGGAGAACAACGGUCAACAGAAGGUGGAAUCUCUGCUGUGCCGUGCGGUACAGAGGUAUGCACCAGCAUGGACCAGCUAAACACUCCGUUUCCAAUGGUAGCAACUUCUCUGAGUGGUUCUGUAAUGGACUGAAGCUGGAAUGUGCCCAAAGGCUCCCAUGUUGAAGGCUUGGUCCCCCUGUCCCAAGUGCUGCAGAGACCAUGAGGAUACUCAGCUCAUCAAUAGGUGAAGCUAUUGAUGAGUUCCCAGUUGACUGGCCUGGUUGAAAGGAGUGAGUCAUUGCUCUGUGCCUGGGAAGAAUGUCUCUCUCCCCUCUUCCCUUCCCUCUUUCUGACUCUUGGCCACCACAAGGUAACUAAUGAGCUUCCUCAGACUCAGAGAAGCAAGGAAAACAGCCCUCUGUGUACUGAGACCUCUGAAACCAUGGGCAUUCUCCUCUAAGCUUGGAAAGCUAUUUUGUCACAGCUACAAAAUAGUGGCCAACACACUGAGCUAAGAGAACCUCAUAGUUGCAGAGUUGUUAGCUAGGGUUGCUGUCGGAAGCCACCACGUGACUGCUGGAAAUCUAACCUGCAUUCUCAAAGAGCAUCCGACGCUAUUAACUGCUGAGUCAUCUCUCCAGCCCCACAGUGCUGCUCUUCUAAGUGUAAUGUCUCCAUUGGGCACACGCACCAGACAGAAUCUUUCUUACCCUUCCACACCAAGGGAAAAAGUGUCUCCUUUCAGAGGUCCCGGCAUAGCUGCCGAUGUGGUGAUUAUACAACGCAUCACCUACUUCAUGUCACUGUAAAUGUGUAUGUUUAUUGAAACAAUUUUCAGCUCAUGACCAAAAUCCCUUUAGUUCAGUCCAAUUCAGAACUCUGAUACGAAACAGUGAUAUGUGAAACAGAUACGUCUCAACUAGAGCCCUGCCUCAGUAGCCCCACGAUUCACCUUAUCCAACUCCCUUGUCAGUCCUGAGCCUCAAGGUGGGAGACACCCACACCCACACCCACACCCACACCCACAUGGGCCUGCAGCCCAAAUCUGCCAGUUCACUAUGUUUCAAGUUGCAUGGAGCAUCCCCACAGCUGCCAACACUGAUAUCUGCGAGUUCUACUUCUAAUCAGGUCAGAAUUCCAUGGCUGCUUGCUGGGCACGUGUCCUGGGUGGUGGCUGCACCAUGCCCUCUUCAGAGGGGCUGUGAUCUGCCAACUUAAGGAGGAUCCAGAGUGAGGAUUUUGGAAUUGGGAAGAUCAUGGCACCCAUGUUGUGAGAUCAUGCAUCUAACUGAAAAAGGCUGAGGUCUAGGAGGAUGGCGUCUUUUCUUUACUUGUGGGAGUUGUAGCGUGUUUCAGUAGGUCUCUGAAUCUCAGAGCAGGUUUCCCUCAGUAGCUGUCCUUCAGUACUGGCAACAAGUGAGAAAGUUAUACAUAUUGUGUAUCCUUCCAUAUAAGCAGAGUCCUCCAUAUCCAUAGGUACUGUGUCCAGAGUCAACAAACUUGAUUGACAAUAUUUUUAAAGAACGUUUUAAAAAGUAUUGAACACACAGAGCUUUUUAUUGUCAUUAUUCAUCAACCACACAGAAGAAUAACAUUUACAUAAUCUUCACUUUGUCAUAUUUAUAAUCUAGACAUGAUAUAAAGUAGAUAGAGGACCAGGUUAGAGUCCUUUGCUCUGCUCAGCUGAUAUGAAGCCUUGGCUGUUCUGUUAUGCUAGAUGGGGCAAGGCAGGCAAUAGGAAGUACCCUGCUGAAUGUUGUCAUUGUCUUUUCCGGGCCACAGAACUAGACACAACAGAAGAAUAAAGUGACAGUGUUACCAGUG
rnacentral:lncRNA from 1 species